UCCUUUGGAGAUUGCAGUGGUUGCAGCCCUGUCAGACUGGAGUGCUCUCCUGUGAAUGGCAUGCCCAGCUCACCCUUGUAUGUCCAGCAAGUCCAAGCUUAGGCUAAAGCAAAUAGACUUGUAUUGUUACCACAUGUAGUGGUAAGGAAGAGGUUUAACACAGAAGAUGUCCUGCAGAAAAGGUUUAUUAUGUGGUACGGCAAUCUGGAACAAUGUCUAAGACCUAUGACACCAAGUCACACUCUGUGCUUUUCCCCUGAUACUGGGCUGUUGUUGCUUCAGAGAUCCGCAUCUCCCAUAAAGGAGUACCUCAUGUGAAGAUGUCAGCUCUUUUCCUUGCUUUUAAGUCUAAGCCCCUUUGGCAGUUGAUGAAAUUCUGCUCUCAGAAACAGUCACCUGGCUUCUUCCAACUCAGCGGUUCCAUCCUUACAGCCAUGCCUGGAGCUCAACGCCUGCUGGCAGAGCCCUCUCCUCUCAGCCUCCACAGGUCAGCACGAUAGCACUGUCUCUCUAUGCUUAGGGAGAGGCCUGUCCCGUACAUCCCGUGCCCCCGCAAGACGCCUACUACAACACUGGAUAAAUUUCUAUUCAGAUGCAACUCAGGAUUACAGUUCAAGGCCCUCUUUAGGUACUGGAAGGCUGUGAUGAGGUCUCCCCAGAGCCUUCUGUUCUGCAGGCCGAACAACCCCAACUCUCUAUGUUUGUCUUCAUAGGAGGGGUGCUCCAGUCCUCUGAUCAUCCUCAUGGCCUCCUCUGGACCCACUCCAACAGGCUCUUGUCCUUCUUGUGCUGGGGGUCCUAGGCUUGAAUGCAAGUGGGAUCUCACGAAUAGAGCAGAAGAAUCAGGAGAAUCAUCUCCCUUGCCCUGCUAGUUUCAAUUCUUUUAAUGCAGCCAAGGAUACAAUUGUAUGGACCAUCCUGCCAACUUGUUCAGCAGUUACAUGUAGAAAACACGAGUCUGCCUGGGAGAUGGAACACAUCAGAGGAAAAUCUACACUGGAUUUGGGGAUAGUUGGCAGAUGAGUUAUAAAAAUAUCCUUUCACAUUUUGUACAAUAAAAUGGCCAUUUGGGGCAGAGUCAUUAAUAGACAGUGCAGAGUUACCAUCCCUUCUUGUUUUCUGUUGUCAGUGGUGAGGAGCGCAGAGGCAGUUGAACAGUAAGCAUAAGUAACUACCAGGUGGGUCUCAGUUGGAAAGGAAGCAAAUGAUAUUUAAGGCAUCUUUAAGCCACUCAGUAAAAAGACAUCACCACCUUCUGUGGGAGUCUGGGAAUAACUCUGGACUAUCUCAACUAAGGGAAACAGUGUGCCUGCAUAAGAUGAAAACCCUGGGCUCAUAGGAAAUGCUGCAGACAGAUCUUUUCUCACUGAGACACUGAGGUGCUGCAAAGGGAGGGUGCAUCCUCUCCUGCACCCUAGGACAACACAUACUCGUUACUCAGUACGUGUCACAUGCACAGACAGAAGGCGUCCAAGUUAUAAACAGAGGGAUUCAGCCACUGUUGGUACUAGCGGCCUGCUUCAGUGGGUGAGCUAUGGUGUUCUCAGCAUGCCUUCUCUGUCUGAUCAUAUUUUCAUGUCAAAGGUCAGGUGUCCACGUGAAUGUAAUAAACGCUUGUAAUCUCCUGC
ensembl:lncRNA